CACUCUUUUCAGAGAGGGGCCCAAUUUGGAGCUUCCUUAAGCCGCCGUUUAAGUAAACAGCCGCCGACAAUGUGACUAAUCAGAAAAGCAGGAAGGCGAACGCGGGCAGAUGCGCCUCCGCAUUGCAGAUGAAGACGUGUCGGCGUCCAAUCAAUCGCUGAAUUGAAAAGGGCCUGGAGAUGGAUCGUGUCAUUACCAAUUCCUGCCGAUCUACGGGAGCUGUGGACGAUUGCGUGUGUGCAGAGGUGUGUGAGUUUGAACGGCACGCGAGGAGAGGCCAAGUAGAAACGACGUUCUGGAGCUGGCUUCCAAGCCCCGCGCCAUGCGAAGCGGCCAACGGCGUUCGUCGCCGUGCAGCCGGAACGUAAAGUAUACCGGGGACCGCCUGUUUGACUUGUUGUGUAUUCACUGCCUGCCAGCUAUGACUUACUGACAAAAGACUGCUAAAACGCAAGAUGCAGCUUAAGAGGGCAACAGUCGGCCCACGUCAAACCUUAAGUCGUCAAACAGAGCAGACACAUGCGAAAGGCACCUUCCUCCUGCACCCUCCUACUUGUUCAUUUCACAGACGAUUAAUCGGUACCAAGAUUAUUUAAUUAAAUAACCGCCUUUGAGGCCUAACGGCGGAGGUCGACCGAGAGCGGAGACGUAGAAGGACUCGCGCCACAGAGAUCCGAUGUGUCUCUUGAGUACGAUCUGUUCCAUGUAGUCCUGGGCAAGCACCCUCAAUAAGGCUUUCUUGUCCCCCUGGCCACUAUCCUGCCAUUUUCCGACUGGAACACGCAAGUCCAUUGUCGGGGGGUGUCACGACGCCACGUACUUGUAAAGUGACAAAUCCCCGUAGGCUGUCAAUGCGGUCCCGUUGUGCAGCAUUAGUCUCUGUGACGUUAAUGCUGACAAACACUACAGAGUGAACAUCAUUUAACUUCACAUCUAUUCAAGCCCGCGCCAAUAAUCGGCGGCGGCAUCGCUCACUGACAGGGUCGCUCGGCAUCGGCGGUAAUCAGAUCAAGUUAAAAGGUUUGGCCUGUGCAUACUAAAUAGUUCCCCCCCUGUUUCUGGGGGGUCAAAACUCGAACCAAACCAACAGAAAAGAUUUCAUUUCAGUACAAUAUUGCAAAGCUAAUUAUGCCUUGUUGCUGUUGCUGGAGGGCAUUUCGCUGUUUAAUUUCCAAUUUACAAAUUAAAAUGAUUUGACGCCCCUUUGGAAGUCAGGUAUGAAGAUGCUGAUUCCCUUGUCACAGCGAAGAAGUAGAUUGACAUUAAAUUAGAAGAAUUCUGAUGGACGGGUGAGAUACUUGAAUUUCAACAUGAAAUAUGAAUCCCUGGAAAUUGACACACUCGCUGACCUGCUCCCAUGUGCCGAGUUUAAAGGUUCGCUUUGAAAAGACAGCUCCGGUCUCAUAAAUAUGUCAUUGGAGCAACCUAUGACCGAUUCCGAGAGUGACGGGGGUGGCGGCGAUGAAACUAACACACCUAAUCUGCACAUUUUCAUGCAUCAUUAAAACAUCAGUCCAGAGGUGCGAGGAGAAGGUCGUUUCAAAGUAGCCUGACGUCAGCGUCCGGCUCGACACGACGCUAACUCAAGAGUUCCAGCUAGCUUGUUUGUCUCGCUGCUAUGACUCACUCAGGAUGAUGAGAAUAUUUUUCGGAUCCGGACGACAUUUGGCUGAAAUUCACUGGAAUCGCGGUAACGUGGUCAGACCGAAGUGCUGGAACAGAAGCCAAGUACAUCAAGUGGAUAAACAAAGUAUUCAAUUUCAAAUGGCAGCGACUACGAGUGAGCACAUGCGAUCGUGAAAAGGAAAUGAAGCAAAUGUGGAAACAUUUGCAUUUGUUGGUAUGUGUGACAAUUUAAAGAGUUCUUUUUGGCAAAGGUUUCGACGAUGCCGACAAUUGAUGACACAUCUAAAUAAGCCAAUCAGGAUUCAGGGUUUGGGGUAGGCGCUAAAAUUUUCCGUCGACCAAAAUAUUCACGAUGACUCUCUUCCUCCAACUUUGUGGAAUAAGGUCAGGGACAUUAAAGUGACUACGCCCCAAUACAAAAAAAACAUGGAGAAGCUAAAAGAAGGAAAGCUCAAACAUUCUAUGUAAACUUUCAAUAUAUCAAAUGCACAAAUUUUUCAAAAACAGAUAAUAAUUUGAAAUAGACAUUUUCCCCAAGUGGGCGAGCAACACCGGGGCGAGUUUUCGUAAAGCUAACAAUUAAAACUAGCGAAAAGAAUUAGCACGGCGUAAGCAUGUCAUUAACUGGCAGGGACACGGAAACAAUGUAGGCCUCCAAGGUGGCAUCCAAAGAUAGGCCUCACCUCGCCCCCCCUCCCUUCCACAUUUCCGUAGGUGGCUGCCCUUCACCAGAGCUUCUCGGGGAUAAUAAUCCACAAAGGAUUUGGCACGUUCUUCAUACAGCUGAGACACUUCCACAAUUGAAAGCUUUUUGCGCAUAAAUUUGGAAUGACAAAGUUUGAGUCAGACAAGCAUAAAUGCAUAGUCAGUAUUUCGGAAGUACACUAAACAGCACAGAUAGUGUCGCAAUCCAGAACACACAAUGAUCCAUUUUUUUAGAUACAUAAAUGGUCUUAUUUUGUUGUACUGCAUACAAAGCAUGCGCUAGCUAGCUAAUAACGCUUUGGAAUUAUGUCCUAAGUUUUGUUGGAGAGCCAGAGGAGGACAAUAAUUACUCAUUCCUCUGCUUGCUCACUCCAGCAGACCUUUCAGGGGAAGUUGCUUCUACGUCUUUGUGGUCCAGUUUUGUUUGCUGCCAUGGUCUCUAUGACUCUUAACUUAAGAGUCUUAAGUAAAGUCACAAACACAUCUUCGCGCUACACCUCCCACUUUGUUAUUUGCAUACAGGACAAUCCAGAUACUAGAUCAAGGACUUAUAGACGUUCUCCUGAGAUGCCAUUAGAGUUAUUUGUUCCAUAAUUAAGCUAAAUCUAUUCUAUCCAUAGCAUUAGCCAAAGUAGAUCUGAAGCUAGCGUUCAUUCAGAGUGAAUCAGAAUUGAACAUACGCACGCAUACUUGAGCACUUUUCAGUUCUUGUUUUAGGAAAUGAGGAAAAUGAUCUCAAUUUCGUGCCUGACUCUCUAUUUCACCCAACUUGAACUGUGUGGGAAGACGAUCGGGUGAGUCAUACACGGUAGCUUGGGUUGGCACUAUCCAGCAAAUAGUUUUGCAGUUUUUUUUCUAUGACGGCAUUCAUAAAAUGUGCAUCUGGAAGUAUGAGAAGUAGAAAACCACUUUGAUUACGCUUAUACAAACUGAUAUAGUCACAUAACAGCGCAGGGUAGGAAAAUAUUGUGAUUUGCUAACAAUCAUGCUGUCAGAAAGUACUCACAUUUUCCCCUGUGGCUUUCUGCAAACAGGAAAUUACUCAACUGACUUCACCACAGUUUAUCAUCUGGUACUGCAGUUACAUGCCUUUAAUCAUGACUUCAAGUCAGAAUUCAUUUGUGUCCCUCAAGAAAUAACCGUAACCGCAGGUUGUGUUGCGGCGAGAUUUUCAAGACUGCAAUAAGCGUGUGGGGAAACAAUUCUUGAAAGCAAAGACACACAAAGUCUUUUCUGAUUUACAAGGAAAGCUGCUGUGAUGCAUACCGAACGUGAGCCACUGCUGUCAUGGUACCAAAACAACUUCGGGCAGACAGUCACAUGCUGCUUCACCACGUCGAAAGACCAAAACAACAGAACAAGAAGCAGACUGGUUUGGUUGAGUUCUUUGACCAUUUUAAGAAAGUCGAAAUGUCGCCCGAGAGGUAGCGUAAGAAACAGCAACAAAUUUCUUCCAGAUAAUGAAACAUGCAGCGAAGGACAGCUACUGAAUCCAAAUGGCAAGGUCACAGGUGAUAUUUGAUUAGGAGAGACAUGGCUGUUUGACAAAGAUAAAUUCAGUUUUACCCGAGUAACCGGAGGCUAUAAAGCAAAAUAAUAAUAAUAACAAUAAUUAGGCCUUUUGUGGGAAGGAUGCCAGAUCUGGUUGUAAACAGAUGCAAAUAAAUAAAUAAAUAAAUAAAUAAAUAAAUAAAUAAAUAAAUAAAUAAAUAAAUAAAUAAAUAAAUAAAUAAAUAAAUAAAUAAAUAAAUAAAUAAAUAAAUAAAUAAAUAAAUAAAUAAAUAAAUAAAUAAAUAAAUAAAUAAAUAAAUAAAUACGACAGCGCGGUGCCUUGUGUCAUUGACAAAUCGCAGCUUAUUUUACUGUGAGCCGCAAAGAGCUGUGCUGUUGCAAAGCGAUCGAUAAAUCUAUCGCCUCCACUCUGUUUGGCCACCAUUAAUGAUUGAUUUCCCCGGUGGACUUAUUGAUUCACAAACACCUCCGUAGCCAUAAUUUUUUUCCCUAAUUGCGUGAAGUAGAGGGAAAAAAAGGAUGUUGAUCGCUCUCAAGUCGGCAUGGAUCUUGUCGAAUCUCCGCAAAAGUACCACGGAGAAGCCUGAGGCGUCGUCGCCGAGGGCGACUCGAAUGCAUCAUUCCGAGUGUCGCUCGGCCUCUCAAAGCGGCUUAGAUAGUGUCGAGAGCUACUAAGGGUGGCCGCAUCUUGUGAAAUUCUCUUCACAAAACAAAUGACUGUAUUUUGUCUUGGUCUUGCCAUAGUUGGAGUCAUACUAUGCUACGUUUAAAUAUGACCAUAAAACCGGCACACUAUUAACAGGGAAAUUUACCUGGCACCGAAUGAAUAGCCAUUUAACAGCCGUCAUCAAACUUUCUGCAUACACUCAUUCUGAUUAAGCCCACAAGAAAGAGCCUGAUGGAAAUUUGGACUGACAGUAAGGACUGAGCAGGCGAGGAAAAUCAGGAGACAAAAGGGAUGAAGUA